rnacentral:tRNA from 1 species
GAGGGUACAGCUCAAGUGGUAGAGCACAUGCUUAGCACGCAUGAGGUCCUGGGUUCAAUCCCCAGUACCUCCU